rnacentral:rRNA from 1 species
GAUGAACGCUGGCGGCGUGCCUAAUACAUGCAAGUCGAGCGAACGGACGAGAAGCUUGCUUUUCUGAUGUUAGCGGCGGACGGGUGAGUAACACGUGGAUAACCUACCUAUAAGACUGGGAUAACUUCGGGAAACCGGAGCUAAUACCGGAUAAUAUUUUGAACCGCAUGGUUCAAAAGUGAAAGACGGUCUUGCUGUCACUUAUAGAUGGAUCCGCGCUGCAUUAGCUAGUUGGUAAGGUAACGGCUUACCAAGGCAACGAUGCAUAGCCGACCUGAGAGGGUGAUCGGCCACACUGGAACUGAGACACGGUCCAGACUCCUACGGGAGGCAGCAGUAGGAAAUCUUCCGCAAUGGGCGAAAGCCCGACGGAGCAACGCCGCGUGAGUGAUGAAGGUCUUCGGAUCGUAAAACUCUGUUAUUAGGGAAGAACAUAUGUGUAAGUAACUGUGCACAUCUUGACGGUACCUAAUCAGAAAGCCACGGCUAACUACGUG